AAGAUGGCAGUUGGAGCCGUGGCCUCACGCUGAAUCAAAUCAGUGACAUUAAAAACACUCAGUGAUGGUCAGACACAGCCAGGUCAACAACAGAGGUCACACCAGAGGCCUCAGUGAGAACAACUGGUGCAUCUGUGCCCAACCAAGUUUCUCUUAAAACAAACAGUCCAGUUUAGCAUCUAAAAUCAAAUUAUUUAGAAUAAAAUAUCUGUUUAAAGGAGA